AACGAACGCUGGCGGCAUGCCUAACACAUGCAAGUCGAACGAGACCUUCGGGUCUAGUGGCGCACGGGUGCGUAACGCGUGGGAACCUGCCCUUAGGUUCGGAAUAACUCCCCGAAAGGGGUGCUAAUACCGGAUAAUGUCUUCGAACCAAAGAUUUAUCGCCUUUGGAUGGGCCCGCGUUGGAUUAGCUAGUUGGUAGGGUAAAAGCUUACCAAGGCGACGAUCCAUAGCUGGUCUGAGAGGAUGAUCAGCCACACUGGGACUGAGACACGGCCCAGACUCCUACGGGAGGCAGCAGUGGGGAAUAUUGGACAAUGGGCGAAAGCCUGAUCCAGCAAUGCCGCGUGAGUGAUGAAGGCCUUAGGGUUGUAAAGCUCUUUUACCCGGGAUGAUAAUGACAGUACCGGGAGAAUAAGCUCCGGCUAACUCCGUG
rnacentral:rRNA from 1 species